rnacentral:rRNA from 1 species
UACAGGGGGGGCAAGCGUUGUUCGGAAUUACUGGGCGUAAAGGGCCAGUAGGCGGCCAACUAAGUCACACGUGAAAUCCCCAGGCUUAACCUGGGAACUGCGUGUGAUACUGGAUGGCUUGAGUUUGGGAGAGGGAUGCGGAAUUCCAGGUGUAGCGGUGAAAUGCGUAGAUAUCUGGAGGAACACCGGUGGCGAAGGCGGCAUCCUGGACCAAUACUGACACUGAGGAGCGAAAGCCAGGGGAGCAAACGGG